UUAACCAAACAAUGACUCUCUUUCACUUUCUCUACAGUCUCUCUUCCUCUCUCACUCUCUGCACUCACCAUCUUUCUAUGUUGCACAAUGCAACAUCGUAAGCCACUACCACCAUUCACCACCCAACCUUCGAACCCACACCACCAAACCAUCAUCAUUAUUCUCCCUGACUUACCACGAGUCUAGAAACCCCAAGAAAAUUCUUGAAUUAGUCAUCAAACUCAACAACGAAGAACUUAUGUUUGAACUGAGAGGAUCUCCGACGAAUUCUUUGUCUUUCUGACCAAGGUUUCCCUGUCGCAUUUUUUGGCCAAAUAUCACUGAAUUGUGCGAGUUCGAGAACACCAAACAACUCCCUAUCACUUAUAUCCCAAGAUUCGAGCAUGUGCUCGAAUCUGCCUUUGUCUCAACAAACUCCAAUUUGGCCAUGGCAUUCAGGCUAAAUUAUGAUCAACUUCGAUCACUUUUAGACCUCGAUAUAGAAUAUUCUGUGCAAUGACGAAAUAUUCUACUAUGGUAACUGAACACUCAAUCUGGUGACCAAAUAUUCCAUCUCCAGCGUGUAUCGUUACAUGUACUUUAGGAUCAAUUUGAAGGCAAAAGAAAUGAAAAAAUUCCAUUUUUGGGGUUGACCCUUAUUCAAACUUGGAAAGAAGUUUAGUGACCUGUUUUGAAGCCCAAAUAAAGAAUCCAAGAUGAAUCUAGUUUGUUAGAAGACCAGGAACAUAAUGGGAUAGGAAUUGGGAUAUCUGGCCUGAUUUGGAGGUGCUAAAUAAGGCAAAAACGUGCAAAAUAAAGGCUAAGUUGCUGGGAUCACUUUGGAAUAUCUUGCAGCCCUAUUUAGCAUAUAAAUACUAAGGUUUCAGAUUACUUUCACACAAGCCCCCUUGGGGUCGCCCAUAGCUCUCUCUCUUCUCUUUCUUUGGCCUUUCUUCUAGAAACAAAACCCUAUUUCCCUUCACCAUUCGUUGCCAUUGAAGAAACCACGCAGCUGCACUGUUCUUAGAGAAGUUCAACAUCAGAAUUGCUUCAAAGGGGUUUCUUCUUUGAACUUUAAUUUCACUCAUGUUGUUCUUGAUAUUUAUAUAUUUUGUAAUCAUGUUGUGUAAUUAAGUUCAUAGCUGGGGAUUUCGAUGUAGCCUUGCAAACCUACUCUAUGUUAUUCAAACGUGGAAAGAAGUUUAGUGACUUGUUUUGAAGCCCAAAUAAAGAAUCCAAGAUGAAUCUGGUUUGUUAGAAGACCAGGAACACAAUAGGAAAGGAAUUGGGAUAUCUGGCCUGAUUUGGAGGUGCCAAAUAAGGCAAAAACGUGCAAAAUAAAGGCUAAGUUGCUGGGAUCACUUUGGAAUAUCUUGCAGCCCCAUUUAGCAUAUAAAUACUAAGGUUUCAGAUUACUUUUACACAAGCCCCCUUGGGGUCACCCAUAGCUCUCUCUCUUCUCUUUCUUUGGCCUUUCUUCCAGAAACAAAACCCUAUUUCCCUUCGCCAUCCGUUGCCACCGAAGAAACCACGCAGCUGCGCUGUUAUUGGAGAAGUUCAACAUCAUAAUUGCUUCAAAGGGGUUUCUUCUUUGAACUUUAAUUUCACUCAUGUUGUUCUUGAUAUUUAUAUAUUUUGUAAUCAUGUUGUGUAAUUAAGUUCAUAGCUGGGGAUUUCGAUGUAGCCUUGCAAACCUACUCU